rnacentral:rRNA from 1 species
GAUGAACGCUAGCUACAGGCUUAACACAUGCAAGUCGAGGGGCAGCAUGGUCUUAGCUUGCUAAGGCCGAUGGCGACCGGCGCACGGGUGAGUAACACGUAUCCAACCUGCCGUCUACUCUUGGACAGCCUUCUGAAAGGAAGAUUAAUACAAGAUGGCAUCAUGAGUCCGCAUGUUCACAUGAUUAAAGGUAUUCCGGUAGACGAUGGGGAUGCGUUCCAUUAGAUAGUAGGCGGGGUAACGGCCCACCUAGUCUUCGAUGGAUAGGGGUUCUGAGAGGAAGGUCCCCCACAUUGGAACUGAGACACGGUCCAAACUCCUACGGGAGGCAGCAGUGAGGAAUAUUGGUCAAUGGGCGAGAGCCUGAACCAGCCAAGUAGCGUGAAGGAUGACUGCCCUAUGGGUUGUAAACUUCUUUUAUAAAGGAAUAAAGUCGGGUAUGCAUACCCGUUUGCAUGUACUUUAUGAAUAAGGAUCGGCUAACUCCGUGCCAGCAGCCGCGGUAAUACGGAGGAUCCGAGCGUUAUCCGGAUUUAUUGGGUUUAAAGGGAGCGUAGAUGGAUGUUUAAGUCAGUUGUGAAAGUUUGCGGCUCAACCGUAAAAUUGCAGUUGAUACUGGAUAUCUUGAGUGCAGUUGAGGCAGGCGGAAUUCGUGGUGUAGCGGUGAAAUGCUUAGAUAUCACGAAGAACUCCGAUUGCGAAGGCAGCCUGCUAAGCUGCAACUGACAUUGAGGCUCGAAAGUGUGGGUAUCAAACAGGAUUAGAUACCCUGGUAGUCCACACGGUAAACGAUGAAUACUCGCUGUUUGCGAUAUACGGCAAGCGGCCAAGCGAAAGCGUUAAGUAUUCCACCUGGGGAGUACGCCGGCAACGGUGAAACUCAAAGGAAUUGACGGGGGCCCGCACAAGCGGAGGAACAUGUGGUUUAAUUCGAUGAUACGCGAGGAACCUUACCCGGGCUUAAAUUGCAGAUGAAUUACGGUGAAAGCCGUAAGCCGCAAGGCAUCUGUGAAGGUGCUGCAUGGUUGUCGUCAGCUCGUGCCGUGAGGUGUCGGCUUAAGUGCCAUAACGAGCGCAACCCUUGUUGUCAGUUACUAACAGGUUCCGCUGAGGACUCUGACAAGACUGCCAUCGUAAGAUGUGAGGAAGGUGGGGAUGACGUCAAAUCAGCACGGCCCUUACGUCCGGGGCUACACACGUGUUACAAUGGGGGGUACAGAGGGCCGCUACCACGCGAGUGGAUGCCAAUCCCCAAAACCUCUCUCAGUUCGGACUGGAGUCUGCAACCCGACUCCACGAAGCUGGAUUCGCUAGUAAUCGCGCAUCAGCCACGGCGCGGUGAAUACGUUCCCGGGCCUUGUACACACCGCCCGUCAAGCCAUGGGNAGCCGGGGGUACCUGAAGUGCGUAACCGCGAGGAGCGCCCUAGGGUAAAACUGGUGACUGGGGCUAAGUCGUAACAAGGUAGCCGUACCGGAAGG